AAAGGUCGAUGAGCACACAGCUGUGUUAGUCAUGUAGCUGCUAUGCUACUGAACAAAAUGAAAAUGCCUACGUAGCUGAAAGAGAUAGAAAGUGACUCAGCUCUUGCUCAAACACCCAGUGCCUCUGAGAUUCGUCAGUGAACUGCCUGGAAGGUCCUGCAGAGUGUUUCAAUAUUUGGACCUGCCUGCAGCGGGUGAGGAGAGAGGACAGAGCUGGAUGUAUCCGUGCUGUGGGUGGGGAAGAAGAGCUACUGUCCCAGGCUGCAGGCAAAACAGCCACUUUCUCUGGGAGGAAAACAUGACAUAGGAGAAAUAAAUCCUGGACGCUCUUCCCAUCUGCAAGGGCAGAAAGGAAAAAUAAGAGUUGGCAGAAAGGACAACAGUGGACUGACCCAGUGGAGAAGAUACCAGGCACAGAAGAACCUGGGAGAGAACAGCAGCCUAGCAGUACCAGGCUGUACCAGGAAAGGAGCUGCGACUUUUCUGGGAUGGAGAGGGGCAAAUGCAGAGAAGCUCUGACAUCUUACUGGCAAAUGGAACGGAAUGAUAAUAAAGAAUUAUGUGUAUUAUUCAUCA